rnacentral:misc_RNA from 1 species
GAUGAAGAACGUAGCGAAAUGCGAUACGUAAUGUGAAUUGCAGAAUUCAGUGAAUCAUCGAAUCUUUGAACGCACAUUGCGCCUGCCAGCACUCUGGCAGGCAUGCCUGUUCGAGCGUCAUUUCAACCAUCUAGCCCUAGGCUUGCGUUGGAGCCCUGCGGCUGCCGCAGGCCCCUAAAAGCAGUGGCGGGCUCGCUAUCACACCGAGUGCAGUAGAUUACUCUUCGCUCAGGGCGUGUGGCGGGUUCCAGCCGUGAAACCCCCUACUUCUCAAGGUUGACCUCGGAUCAGGUAGGAAUACCCGCUGAACUUAAGCAUAUCAAUAAGCGGAGGA